rnacentral:misc_RNA from 1 species
AAGUCGUAACAAGGUUUCCGUAGGUGAACCUGCGGAAGGAUCAUUAACGCAUCUCUGGCGGGCGAGGGUGUGCCCUGCUCCGGACCGAAAGGCCGUGCAGCGGGUGUUCCCGGACCGUCGAACCUUUGCAAACCCACUGUGCACUUUUGUCGGCAAAAGGGCCCUAGUGGCCCCGAGCCGGAUCACAAACACUUUGUCAAACGAAUGCAAGCGGACAUUGAGCCGCCUAAAACUUAACAACUUUCAACAACGGAUCUCUUGGCUCUC